GAAAUUUCAUUUGCGGUAAAGUUUUGCACGCUGGUCACCACACGAUUGUAUUCGCAGGCAUCAUAUAAUUGCCGUAUCUAACCGCAACGCUUAAAAUAUAACGGUUUAAGUGGAUGCUUCUGCUAUCAAUUCCAUUUUGAAUUUCUUCUGAUAUCUCACCGAUUACACCAUUUAAAUAUCGUAAAAUAGCACGUAUUUUGCUAACGUUGUGCGCCGCUUGCUGCAACAACUUAUCACUUACGGUUAUCGACAUAUUUUGUGCGCCAUGCGAAGCCACCCACCACCUAAGAAUUUCAAGUGAAAAGUAAACUUCGAGCAGGGAUAUUUGGCAUAUAAUUUUGUACCUUAAUGCGUCGACACCAUAUUCCUUAAUGAUAUCAUUUGGCGAUAUUACAUUGCCAAGGGAUUUCGACAUUUUGUGGCCCUUUUCGUCCACCGUGAAACCAUGCACAAAGAUUGACCUAAAAAUUAGAUAUGCAUUUUAAUUUGUAAUAAAGAAAUAAUAUAGAAAUCCAACUAGCAAUUAACAGAGGGAUGGAACGACUAGACUGUGGACAUGGUUUCUCUUGUAUUUAUAUCAAGGUCAUCUGAUUGCGGACUUGCAAGAAGCAUAUUUUCGCGAACCAGUCAUUUGAUCAAUAAAAGUCCACAGAGAUGGGCGGAAUAUAUUCGGGAAAGGUUGUCUACUGGUGUCAAAAGACUCGCCCUCCUUUGGAGACUGCUUGUCGUUGAAGUUCAGAAAACGCUAACGGACAUGGGGAUUCCGUGCACAAGCUAUGAGGACGACCCACGACAGUCCGAAGCUGAAUUGCCAAGAGAGACCAGGUGCACCCUAGCACAACUCCGUUCUGUGUGGUGCCACAGAUUAAACAGCUAUCCCUCCCGGCUGAACCCAGAAGUGGCAGACACAUGCCCUGCAUGCAGGCAAGGUCCACACAACACCCAACACCUCUUCGCAUGCGCCUCUAGUCCCACGACCCUGACACCAGAAGCAUUAUGGACCGCGAUUUAUAUUUGGCCAAGGACUGUCACACCAGCAGCACUCCCCAAAAACUCUUUGGGGAACUUGUAUGCUGCUACAACAACAACGACACAGUCAUAAUAGCGAGAGGAGAGUACGAGAACGAUUUUUGCAACAUAUUUAAGCAGAAGAGUACUAAGGAUGAAAAUGUUGUGUGCGGGUGUGGCCCACAGCAGAAACACAACAAAAGCAGCUAUCGUUCCAUUCACUAGAAAAUAACCAUACUGAAAUGAAAUAUUGCUCAAAGCUAAACUCUCUAGAUGUCGUGACGACUAAAUCCAGUGCUAAAAAUGCUCUAAUGAUAUGAAAACUUGGGAGUUACAGUGGUCGGAUACUUCUACUUGAAGUGAUGGCCGGUAAUGAUUUGCUCGCCAAUGUGUAACAGAAUAUGUGCCAAUGAUAAAAGAGUAUAGUUUAUCAGCUUAUUAUCUUCAGACUACUUACUUGUAGGGUGCCCGAUUUCUGGCCGCAAUACUUGUCAGAAGCGAUGACUGAAACCAGCCGCUAAACUGAUCAUAUCCUUCAAGAUAGACAUCAGCAACUUUUUCCCCUUGGAGCACACUUGACCAUGUACUACCGGAAUCAAACCAUAUAUCAAAUAUGUCUACACUUUUUUCCAAAUCAGUAGCACUUUUAUUGAAUUGAUCCAAAACGUGCGCAGGUAAUAUUUCUUCGACACCUUUUGACCACCAGAAAUCAAUACUACCUUCCUUUUCUAUGAGCGCGCAGAUAUGAUCGAUUAAAGUGCUGUGAGAGAUUUCAAAUGUUAGAACCUGGUAAAUUUUUCACCUUUUCAAUACUCAACUUAUUAAGGUAAAUUCGUUUCGUGCCGCGCUCGUAAAAAACUGGUAUCGGCACGCCCCAAACGCGUUGGCGUGAUAUACACCAAUAUGGACGCUUGCGCAAUUGUGCCAUCAGCGCUUUUCUACUCG